rnacentral:rRNA from 1 species
GAUUAACGCUGGCGGCGUGCCUAACACAUGCAAGUCGAACGAGGUAGCAAUACCUAGUGGCAGACGGGUGAGUAACGCGUGGUCAACCUACCGUUGAGUGGGGGAUAACUAGCCGAAAGGUUAGCUAAUACCGCAUACGUCUCCGAGGGGCAUCCCCUGGCGAUAAAAGGAGCAAUCCGCUCGAUGACGGGACCNCGUCCCAUUAGCUAGAUGGUGGGUAACGCCUACCAUGGCACCGAUGGGUAGCUGGUUUGAGAGAGCGACCAGCCACACUGAGACUGAGAAACGGCCCAGACUCCUACGGGAGGCAGCAGUGAGGAAUUUUCCGCAAUGGGCGC